rnacentral:rRNA from 1 species
UUGGGCAAGUCUGGUGCCAGCAGCCGCGGUAAUUCCAGCUCCAAUAGCGUAUAUUAAAGUUGUUGCAGUUAAAAAGCUCGUAGUUGAACCUUGGGCCUGGCUGGCCGGUCCGCCUCACCGCGUGUACUGGUCCGGCCGGGCCUUUCCUUCUGGGGAACCUCAUGCCCUUCACUGGGCGUGUUGGGGAACCAGGACUUUUACUUUGAAAAAAUUAGAGUGUUCAAAGCAGGCCUUUGCUCGAAUACAUUAGCAUGGAAUAAUAGAAUAGGACGUGUGGUUCUAUUUUGUUGGUUUCUAGGACCGCCGUAAUGAUUAAUAGGGAUAGUCGGGGGCGUCAGUAUUCAAUCGUCAGAGGUGAAAUUCUUGGAUUGAUUGAAGACUAACUACUGCGAAAGCAUUUGCCAAGGAUGUUUUCAUUAAUCAGUGAACGAAAGUUAGGGGAUCGAAGACGAUCAGAUACCGUCGUAGUCUUAACCAUAAACUAUGCCGACUAGGGAUCGGACGGUGUUAGUAUUUUGACCCGUUCGGCGCCUUACGGGAAAC